GUGAGAUUUCUUGUGAAUGGAAAAUAGCAUGAUCCAGGCUGUUUUUCAAUAACAAAGAAAGAGAAUUAUGACUGAAACAAAUGCAAAAUUUCCAACUGGAAUUCUCUUCAUAUUUAUGGUAAUUUUGGAAAAUAGUCUUUCCAGUGAAUAACACCUUAAAAGAAGGAACUGUGGCUGUGAUAAUGUAGCAGUAUUGCGUGAAUCUGUUGCCGCCAUUCCAUAGACUGACCCAUUGGGAUGGUGAAACUGACGAGUAAACGCUGAAAUUCAAGAAAAUUAUGUUGCUGUAGAUAAUUAAAU